GUUGUGCAAGGCAAUGUGGCUAGAGAGCUGUCCGCUGUGCUUCUGCAGAGACAUAUUGGAUAGAUGACAGAUGUUGCUGUGAGCCCAGAGCAUUAUGAAUAGCUGUUGAAAAUGAAAGAAUGCUCAGCAGUGAAGACCUGCCGAGGUCUCACACCAGUGGGGAACGGAGACAGAGGCUUUGUUUGAUUUGAAGGAGGUGUGUGGUGUGUAUUCCUCUGUCAGCUCAAAGUCCAGGGCUUUGACGUCAACAGGUGGUCAUUAAGAUCACAGCAUCAAUAAAAUUAGAUGCCCUUAAAGUCUACCGAAA